UCACCUCACCCAACAACAGCGAAUCCACACAGGGGAGAAGCCCUAUGAAUGCAAUGACUGUAGCAAGGCAUUCAGUCACAGCUUGUCCCUCACCAAACAUUAGCGAAUCCACGCUGGGGAGAAGCCAGCCCUACGAAUGCAACCAGUGUGGCAGAGCCUUCAGCCAGCUUGCUCCCCUCAUUCAGCAUCAGAGGAUCCACACAGGAGAGAAACCCUAUGAAUGUAACCAGUGUGGCAGAGCCUUCGGCCAGAGCUCCCGUCUCAUCGAACACCAGAGGAUUCACACCAAGGAAAAGCCCUAUCGGUGCAAUGAGUGUGGGAAAUCCUUCAGCCACAGCUCCUUGCUCAGCCAGCAUGAAAGGACGCACACUGGGGAAAAGUCCCAUGGGUGUCACGAUUGCGGAAAGUCCUUUAGGCAGAGCACCCACCUCACUCAGCACCGGAGGAUCCACACAGGAGAGAAGCCAUAUGUGUGCAGGGACUGUGGAAAGGCCCUUACACACAGCUCCUCCCUUACCAAGCACCAGAGAAUUCACACUGGAUA
rnacentral:lncRNA from 1 species